CCUACGGGAGGCAGCAGUGGGGAAUCUUAGACAAUGGGCGCAAGCCUGAUCUAGCCAUGCCGCGUGAGUGAUGAAGGUCUUAGGAUCGUAAAGCUCUUUCGCUAGGGAUGAUAAUGACAGUACCUAGUAAAGAAGCCCCGGCUAACUCCGUGCCAGCAGCCGCGGUAAUACGGAGGGGGCUAGCGUUGUUCGGAAUUACAGGGCGUAAAGCGUACGUAGGCGGAUCAGAAAGUAUGGGGUGAAAUCCCAGGGCUUAACCCUGGAACUGCCUCAUAAACUCCUGGUCUUGAGUUCGAGAGAGGUGAGUGGAAUUCCAAGUGUAGAGGUGAAAUUCGUAGAUAUUUGGAGGAACACCAGUGGCGAAGGCGGCUCACUGGCUCGAUACUGACGCUGAGGUACGAAAGUGUGGGGAGCAAACAGGAUUAGAUACCCUGGUAGUCCACACCGUAAACGAUGAAUGCCAGUCGUCGGGCAGUAUACUGUUCGGUGACACACCUAACGGAUUAAGCAUUCCGCCUGGGGAGUACGGUCGCAAGAUUAAAACUCAAAGGAAUUGACGG
rnacentral:rRNA from 1 species